CACAGACAGACAAAUUGGGAGCUCAGAGCUCUCUGUCUUAAUUGUGCUGGGGAUUGAGCCUGUGAGCUCAGAACCUCAGGCAUGAAAGCUGUUUUGCAAACUCACUGUGCUGGGUGCAGGUGAGGGCCUGAGGCAGGAGGCGAGGAUCUGAGGGAGGAGGUUAGAAGGUGAAUGCCUAGGGCAGAAGGUGAGGUGGUGAGGGCCUGGGAGAGGAGGUGAGAGUCUGAGGGAGGAGAUGAGAAUCUGAAGGAGAAGGUGAGAACCUGAGGAAGGAGGUAAGGUGAAGCCCUCGGGGAGAUGGUGAGGAGGUGAAGAAGGUGAGAACCUGAGGGAGGAGGUAAGGUGGAGCCCUCCGGGAGAUGGUGAGGAGGUGAAGGAGAGCGAGAGGAGGAGAGAGCGUGUGGACCGGACCAAAGCAUCACGCUGACCCAUGUGAUAGUGAGGAUUGAACUCAGGCCCUCAUGCUGGAGAACCCAGUGCUUUACCCACUAUGCCACCUGCCGGGCUGCAUGAAGUCCAUUCUUGGCCCCACAGCACCUGCCCUCGCGGGUCAGCCCCCUGCUGGCCAUCUGCUGCGUUGACCCAGGCUGGGCCAGGCUCUCUAUUUCCUCACACAGGCUGGGGCUGCCCCACCAUGACCAGUGCACAACCCUCGACUCAUCUGGUCUGCCCCUGCCAAGCCAGCCGCAGCAGGACUCGAGAUUCAAAAAAGACUCAGUUGGGCUGCGGAGCAAAAGAUUCUGCGAAAGAUUUUCCUGCCUGAGACUCUGAGGUCAAGGGUUCAGUCUCCAGCACCAUUAUCAGCCAGAGCUGAGCAGUGAGCUGGUCUCUGUAUCUUUCUGUCUCUUCUCAUUCAAGUAAUAAAAAGCAAAGCAGAGAACAAGAUUCUGCAAAGAGGAGCACUGGAACCAUGCAGAUGCAAAGCUUCCGUUUAAGCCCUGAUGACAACUGACAAAUAACAGUGGCUCAAAGGCUGGGCUGGUGGAGCUCAGGACUGGCUUGCCCCAGGCUCCAGGCACCAGGUCCCCUGGUCCCACCCCUCACUUCCAGCAUCACCUGUACCCAAGUGACAGCUCCCCACCCUCCGUGUGACACACAAUCUGUCUCUUCUGAAAUAAAUACAAUC